rnacentral:lncRNA from 1 species
ACGGACGCGAGGGCCCCCACUCAGCUCCUGGGGCUCCUGGGGCUCUGGCUGCCAGGUACCAGACGUGAUAUCCAGAUGACCCAGUCUCCAUCCUCCCUGUCUGCAUCUGUAGGAGACAGAGUCACUAUCACUUGCCAGGUGAGUCACAGCAUUAGUAAUAAAUUAGUCUGGUAUCAGCAGAAACCAGGGAAAGCCCCUACUCUCCUAAUUCAUGCUGCAACAAAACUGCAGACGGGGGUCCCAUCCUGGUUCAGUAGCAGUCAAUCUGGGACAGAUUUCACUCUCACCAUCAGCAGCCUGCAGCCUGCAGCGUGAUGAUUUGGCCACUUAUUACUAUCAACAGCAUUACAGUUACCCUCC